rnacentral:snRNA from 1 species
GUGCUCACUUCAACAGNACCGGUACUAAAAUUGGAAUGAUAUAGAGAAGAUUAGCAUGGCCCCUGUGCAAGGAUGACACACAAAUUCAUGAAGUGUUGCAUAUUUUU